CGCUGUGGCUUCGCUUCAUUUUUCGCAUAAAUCUUUCGCCUUUUACUGAAGGUUACCGCGUGGAGUGAGCAUACAGGGAGUCUCCACGGAUUUUAAAGCCCACGAGGUACUGGGAU